rnacentral:misc_RNA from 1 species
GAAAUGCGAUACGUAAUGCGAAUUGCAGAUCUCAGUGAAUCAUCGAAUCUUUGAACGCAAAUUGCGCUCUCGGGUUAUCCCCAAGAGCACACCUCUCUGAGUGUCGGUUUAACCUCAUGCCCCAAUUUAUUGGGACGAUAGUCUGAGGGUAAGGGGUCUUGUGCCUUUUUCCCUUUAAAUUCAAGCGCGCGACAAUGUGUGUCGGUGGCAAGUUGCUUUCAGUUAAUUCUGAAUUCAAUCCACUGUCCCUAUGUCGUGUUGCCAAAAGAAACAAAGAUGCAAAGGAGUUCAUUUGGAGUGGGGACAGUUGGGGGCCGAGAACACGUCCUUAUGAACGACUUUGAAUCAACUCUAUGAAUUAGACCUCAGAUGAAGUGGGAAGACCCCCUGAAUUUAA